GACGAACGCUGGCGGCGUGCUUAACACAUGCAAGUCGAACGGAAAGGCCCUGCUUUUGUGGGGUGCUCGAGUGGCGAACGGGUGAGUAACACGUGAGUAACCCGCCCUUGACUUUGGGAUAACUUCAGGAAACUGGGGCUAAUACCGGAUAGGAGCUCCUGCUGCAUGGUGGGGGUUGGAAAGUUUCGGCGGUUGGGGAUGGACUCGCGGCUUAUCAGCUUGUUGGUGGGGUAGUGGCUUACCAAGGCUUUGACGGGUAGCCGGCCUGAGAGGGUGACCGGCCACAUUGGGACUGAGAUACGGCCCAGACUCCUACGGGAGGCAGCAGUGGGGAAUAUUGCACAAUGGGCGGAAGCCUGAUGCAGCAACGCCGCGUGCGGGAUGACGGCCUUCGGGUUGUAAACCGCUUUCGCCUGUGACGAAGCGUGAGUGACGGUAAUGGGUAAAGAAGCACCGGCUAACUACGUGCCAGCAGCCGCGGUGAUACGUAGGGCGCGAGCGUUGUCCGGAUUUAUUGGGCGUAAAGGGCUCGUAGGUGGUUGAUCGCGUCGGAAGUGUAAUCUUGGGGCUUAACCCUGAGCGUGCUUUCGAUACGGGUUGACUUGAGGAAGGUAGGGGAGAAUGGAAUUCCUGGUGGAGCGGUGGAAUGCGCAGAUAUCAGGAGGAACACCAGUGGCGAAGGCGGUUCUCUGGGCCUUUCCUGACGCUGAGGAGCGAAAGCGUGGGGAGCGAACAGGCUUAGAUACCCUGGUAGUCCACGCUGUAAACGGUGGGUACUAGGUGUGGGGUCCAUUCCACGGGUUCCGUGCCGUAGCUAACGCUUUAAGUACCCCGCCUGGGGAGUACGGCCGCAAGGCUAAAACUCAAAGGAAUUGACGGGGCCCCGCACAAGCGGCGGAGCAUGCGGAUUAAUUCGAUGCAACGCGUAGAACCUUACCUGGGUUUGACAUGGAUCGGGAGUGCUCAGAGAUGGGUGUGCCUCUUUUGGGGUCGGUUCACAGGUGGUGCAUGGCUGUCGUCAGCUCGUGUCGUGAGAUGUUGGGUUAAGUCCCGCAACGAGCGCAACCCUUGUUCACUGUUGCCAGCACGUUAUGGUGGGGACUCAGUGGAGACCGCCGGGGUCAACUCGGAGGAAGGUGGGGAUGACGUCAAGUCAUCAUGCCCCUUAUGUCCAGGGCUUCACGCAUGCUACAAUGGCUGGUACAGAGAGUGGCGAGCCUGUGAGGGUGAGCGAAUCUCGGAAAGCCGGUCUCAGUUCGGAUUGGGGUCUGCAACUCGACCUCAUGAAGUCGGAGUCGCUAGUAAUCGCAGAUCAGCAACGCUGCGGUGAAUACGUUCCCGGGGCU
rnacentral:rRNA from 1 species